GACGUAGGGCGCGAGCGUUGUCCGGAAUUAUUGGGCGUAAAGAGCUCGUAGGCGGUCUGUCGCGUCUGGUGUGAAAUCCCAUGGCUCAACCAUGGGCUUGCAUCGGGUACGGGCAGACUAGAGUGCUGUAGGGGAGACUGGAAUUCCUGGUGUAGCGGUGGAAUGCGCAGAUAUCAGGAGGAACACCGAUGGCGAAGGCAGGUCUCUGGGCAGUUACUGACGCUGGAGGAGCGAAAGCGUGGGGAGCAAACAGG
rnacentral:rRNA from 1 species